rnacentral:rRNA from 1 species
AUUGAACGCUGGCGGCAGGCCUAACACAUGCAAGUCGAACGAGUGGCGGACGGGUGAGUAAUGUCUGGGAAACUGCCUGAUUGAGGGGGAUAACUACUGGAAACGGUAGCUAAUACCGCAUACCAUCGGAUGUGCCCAGGUGUGAUGAGCUAGUAGGUGGGGUAAAGGCUCACCUAGGCGACGAUCCCUAGCUGGUCUGAGAGGAUGCCCAGCCCGGCUGGAACUGAGACACGGUCCAGACUCCUACGGGAGACAGCAGAGGGGAAUAAUGCACAAUGGGCGCAAGCCUGAUACAGCCAUGCCGCGUGUAUGAAGAAGGCCUUCGAGUUGUAAAGUACUUUCAGCGAGGAGGCGUUAACCGCAGAAGAAGCACCGGCUAACUCCGUGCCAGCAGCCGCGGUAAUAC